AACGAACGCUGGCGGCAUGCCUAACACAUGCAAGUCGAACGAGACCUUCGGGUCUAGUGGCGCACGGGUGCGUAACGCGUGGGAACCUGCCCUUAGGUUCGGAAUAACUCCCCGAAAGGGGUGCUAAUAUCGGAUAAUUUCUUCGGAUCAAAGAUUUAUCGCCUUUGGAUGGGCCCGCGUUGCAUUAGCUAUUUGGUAGCGUAAAAGCCUACCAAGGCGACGAUCCAUAGCUGGUCUGAGAGAAUGAUCAGCCACACUGGGAGUGAGACACGGCCCAGACUCCUACGGGAGGCAGCAGUGGGGAAUAUAGGAAAAUCGGCGAAAGCCUGAUCCAGCAAUGCCGCGAGAGUGAUGAAGUUCUUAGGGUUGUAAAGCUCUUUUACCCGCGAUGGUAAUGACAGUACCGGGAGAAUAAGCUCCGGCUAACUCCGUG
rnacentral:rRNA from 1 species